AGAGAGGCAAUAUUUUGUAUGAAAUCACGUGAACAAUAAAAAAUAUUUAUUUAAUUACGAAAAUAUAUAUUACAUUUUUUUUUAAUGAAAGUCUUAUCUAAUUUACUAUUUUGCCGCUCUUCCUCUACAGAGUGGUCAAAUAAAAAAUAAUGGUAAAAUGAUUUUCUCUCCCUCUACUCAGACAGCAUUGAUCUCAGACAUAAGUCUAUCAGUUGUAAGAUGACAAGUCCCAUGGUCACCAGUACAAUGGUGCUGUGUGUGUGGUGACGUGUCACAUGUCUGUGGAGAAGCCCUGGCUACCUGGAACGACCAUUCUUCCUGUGGUCUAGUUCUCAUGUCUGUGGAGAAUCUCACUCACACACACUCUCUCUCUCUCUCUCUCUCUCUCUCUCUCUCUCUCUCUCUCUCUCUGUCUUUCUCCCAUUGGGUCCUGGUAUAUGACCUGGUAUGACCGUGAAAGGAGGUCGUCCCUCAGCAUGGGGCCCAGUGAAGGGGUGACAAGCUGCUUGGCUCUAAUACUUUCUUCUACCCUCUACCAUGCUACCCUCCUACCUGUCAUUUGUCAUCGCAGGGGAAAAAUAAGGAUGAAUGACACAACAUGCUUCAGGUGGCUCUGCCCAGCGUUCCUCACUCUGUUGCACCCACCUCCCUCUCACCAUUGCCUCAGGCCCUGGCCUCUAAUGUACUCCUCUGGGACCCCAGCAGAGUCCAGAGGCCCAGAGACCAAAGAACCAGGCCUGCCUGCUGCUCCACUCUUCAUGCUCACUUGAAUUGAAUAUCUGAGAAAAACCUGUGGCCCUCUCUACCAUUCCCCCCACCCCACCCCCUUCUUUCCCUCUCCAUCUUCUUUGGUGACUGUGCUAUUUUUGGCUCUCCUCUGGACAUAUGUCAUUGAGGAGUGCGUGCAGUGGCUGGAUAAUUAAGGCUACCUCAAAGCGGGCAUAAAAAAUUGGGAGAUAUUUAUUAGGCAGUACAUUAGCUGCUUGUCGUGAGUGCGUGUCAGGCCUGUAAAACAAAGUUUGAUUGAGAAAGUCAGAAAAUGUGGUAGUGUAACUACUGUUGUUGCCGUUGGUACUCCAGCAGAGACGUGGAAAUCAUUCACUCACAAAGAUGUACUUGAUUUGGUCUGAUUCAUUUAUUGUAUAAAUAAAUUGUGACAAAAGUGUUUCUCGUUCUGCCGUCUCGUGCCUAGCGAGGUAUUUAUUUGUUGUAAUCAAGUGGACAGAGUGAUGUUUGUCCCCUGGUGCUUGCUGUCCACGCCUCCUCUAAUAGGUAUUGCACACUAUUCCCUAUAUCGUGCACUACUUUUGACCAGAGUCUUACGAGCCUUGGUCAAAAGUAGUGCGCUACAUAGUGAAUAGGGUGCCAUUUGGGACGCACAAAUGGAGUGAGUUUGUGUACACCAGAAGCGUCUGCUAAUUGCUGAUAAUUUAUGAAGGUCGUUCUGAGGUGGUUAUAGUAUGAAACGUUUUGUUUAAUUUUGUGCUGAAAGAUAAUAAAUCCCAAUCUCAGGUUAGUGUGAGCGACUGACCGUGUGCAUGUGGUACCUGUCAUUGUGACUGAGAUCAGCUCUCCCCUUCAGCCAUUUGCCCCUUUGUACAUAUUGGCCAAUCAUGUAAGCAGUUUGAAUUGUCUCAUAAUGUGAUGUGUAAAUAUGUGGUUUAGCCCUCUUAAGUCUCUGUGCUGCUCAUUUUCAGAGAUGAUCCCUGCCUUUUCUUUUUUUCUUCCUCCAUUCUCUCAUUCAUCUUCCAUCCUAACUUCCUCUCCUCACCUUCCCUCUACACAUGUUAGAAUAUUCAUAAUUCCUUCCUCUUGCCUGUUAUAGAAUCCCUACAUAACCUGUAGAGAAACCCUUGCUUCCACCAUCCAACCAUAUUGGAUCA
rnacentral:lncRNA from 8 species